rnacentral:rRNA from 1 species
UACGUAGGGUGCGAGCGUUGUCCGGAAUCAUUGGGCGUAAAGAGCUCGUAGGCGGUUCAGCAAGUCGGCUGUGAAAUUCCGAGGCUCAACCUCGGAACUGCAGUCGAUACUGCUGUGACUCGAGUCCGGUAGAGGAGAAUGGAAUUCCCGGUGUAGCGGUGAAAUGCGCAGAUAUCGGGAGGAACACCAGUAGCGAAGGCGGUUCUCUGGGCCGGUACUGACGCUGAGGAGCGAAAGCGUGGGGAGCAAACAGG